UACAGAGGGUGCAAGCGUUAAUCGGAAUUACUGGGCGUAAAGCGUGCGUAGACGGUUAUGUAAGUCGGGUGUGAAAGCCCCGGGCUCAACCUGGGAAUUGCAUUCGAGACUGCAUAGCUAGGAUGCGGAAGAGGGAAGCGGAAUUUCCGGUGUAGCGGUGAAAUGCGUAGAUAUCGGAAGGAACACCAGUGGCGAAAGCGGCUUCCUGGUCCAGCAUCGACGUUCAGGCACGAAAGCGUGGGGAGCAAACAGGAUUAGAAACCCGGGUAGU
rnacentral:rRNA from 1 species